GAUGGCGCGCACGCUGACCGUCGACUCCUGCUCAUCCAACAAGUCAGCCUCGCCGAAGUAUUCGCCGUCGCCUAACAAUGCUAUCCGCAGGUCCUCGCCGUGAGGGCCUUUGCUGAUGACCUCAGCCUGACCGCUGGCCACGAUGAAGAAGCGUUGCUUGUCCUUGCCCUCCUCGACGAAGAGUUUAUCGACAUCCACCUCCUUGGCCUCGAACGAGUUCACGAGGCGGUUCACUAUCUCGUCGUCGAACUCCGAGAAGAGGGGUAUCGCCUUCAGGUUCUUCGCCGUAAACGACGGCACCCCAUUCACGUACUGAAUGGGCAGGCGGUCGUUCUUGCGUAACUCUACCUUCGUACGGUUCACACGGAAGGUGCCGCCCGAGACCUGCACCCAGGGCAGGAGUUUCAAGAGGAGUCUCGGAGUGAUGGAGCCCAUCUGCGGGGCGGUCUUGGUGGUCGUUGCCAGUCUUCUGGCGGUAGCAGU
rnacentral:antisense_RNA from 1 species